GGUGAAUGAAUUCACCUAGCUAAAAUCUAUUUUCUUCAUGUUGCUUUGUUUUUUUCCCCCCCUAGGAUAAGGAGGCAGAUGCUGAAAAUUAUGUACCAAAACGAAGAAAAAGACGUGAACGGGCAAAAGAAGCGAAGCAAAUUUCAAGACUUCAGAAAUUUACUGCUGCCAUGUGGAGGCUGCUUCUAUUUGUUACCCUUGUGUUGGCUCUGAUUGCAGCAACAUAUUAUGGUUACAAAGGUCUGUUGUGGCUCUCUGAUUGGAUGAAUGAAGUAGAAGUGCAAAGACAAAGAAGAAGAUACCCUUGAAUCUGAUCAAAAUCUCAAACUAUUUUAUACUUGAGUUGGAGUUGGGAGUUGUUUGACAUGGAGUUAGUACAUUAAACCCUUAUAGAAAGUGGUCCCUUACCAAAAAAAUUUCUAUCUUGUUUUAUAUUAUAUUAUUUAUUUUAUUUCUAGCUGGGCCUGUUGUGAUUACUCACCAUACAUGUUCUGGAAGAAGUUUGAAAAAUUGGCGUGGACUUUGAAUUUUGAAUUUCCCAGUCUCCAUUGAAAGCAUUGUGUUUUUGACUUUUGUAUCAAAUAAUGGUUUCGUUAUUGAGAAAGGUUAUUAUUAUGAUUUUGA